AAAAAAUGAGCGUGUUGGUGAUUGAAUUGGAAAAAGUGGAGGAUAAUCCAAAACAUGAUGAAAUAUCAACCUUGGAAAAGUUUCUAUUUAGCUUUCCUUCACUUGAACAACUUUGUUUGGGUUCCUUGGUCCUUGAGUUCUGGAUGAGCUUCCUCCCAAGCUCAACUGCUUGUGGUAUCUGCACUUAGGAGUUGAUUUCAAUAAAGUGGAUCAGACUUCUUGUGCUGUACAGUUAAUCAAGAGUUUUCCUAAUUUGAGUAAACUUCAGAUUACGGUCCAGGAUGGCGAUGACAAUGCUGAAACAGUUAUGAAAUAGCUGGAGACACCAACCUGCUUGAAUAGACCACUUAAUAAGCUUGAGUAUGUGACCAUCAAUUCUUUUCAGUGUUCAAAAACUGAAGUGUUUUUUGUAAAGCUAUUAUGUGCUUGCACUCCAUCUCUUGUAAGGAUGUACAUUCAGCAAGGGAUAGCCAUUGAUUCCAAGGAAGAAAGGAAUAUCACCAUAAAAUUGAUGCGUUUUCCCAGAGCUUCCACAUGGGCAGAACUGUUCUAUUUUCCAUUUGAGGCUACGAACGCAGACUGAUGCCCCUGUUCUCAAUGAGUUUUGUUAAACGAGGUACUGAAUUGGCCAAUUACGUAAAGCGUGUGGUUUCUGUGUCAAUGUGUGUGAUAAGAUUAAAAGUUUUUGUAUGCAUAUUUAACUACCUGUUUGGUAACUAAGGAUGGUAUUUGACAGGAAGUUCAUACAAUGAAAAUAUUUCCUGUUGGUUGUCUGGUUAGAGGCAUUAACACCUGUGUUUUUUGGGAUGGUGAGUUAGCAAUUGCAACCUGGUUCUAACCAAAUUGAAUGUAUUCACAUUUUUAUGUAGAGGUUUUGUUUCCUA